UAAGAGGCAUGACAGGAGGAGAAUGGACUCAGAUUUCAAAACAAUUCAACUAAAUUACUUAUUUCAGCAUGUUGUAAUCGGGUGGGCUUUUCCAACACAAACUUGAUGCAAUUAAAUUGAGCCCACGGACAGACAGCAGAGGUUUCAGAGGAUCAAAAGACGUGCGUGGCACUGGUAAGGUAAUGGUGAACACCCUGCUUGGGAAUGCCCUCCGGUUUGGUUACUAAACCUGGGAAAAUCCAGACUGCCAGAUCAUACGCUCUGUAUUCUCGGAUCGACCAUAGCCUAAAAGUUCAGAUAGACGAACCUAGAGGAUUGCAGAUUUAAUCCAAUAAUAAAAACGAACUAGCGAUAAAAAAAAAUGUAGCUAUUACUUUGAGUGUCAAGCAUUUGCCGCAUGGUAGGAUUAAUCAGAAACGGGACCCCGGCUAACUUGGUCGUGCUGUCAGCCCGAUGGCAACUCUCUGUAAGGCAAAAGCUAACAUGUAUAGACAAGUGCGAUGUGGCAAACUUGGGAGCCAAGUUUCUAAAGCAGCCAGCUGACCCGGGUCAGACGGCGUUACCCUUCAGAACCCGACACAGGAGACGGCUUGCUUGGAACAGCGCCUACAACUGGCAGGACCUCGGAGUAUCAAGCUGUCUCACCUUAUGCCUGUGUGCAAUGUCUGUAAUAUUAACGUGUAAUGUGUGAAAAAUGUUUUUAUUCAAACAAUUAAAAUCUAUAUUCUUUUAGAUAAAUGAUACCAGUCAAUAAUCAAGGUGUACUUUUAAGUGCGCAUUAAAAUAUACACUAGAGUAUUUAAACAGGCAUAUUUCAGGGCAUCGGUGUCUUUGUUUUGGCUCCUUGUGCAUUUAGUUUUUCUACACUCGAGGAUCUUUUUUCAACCCCGCGCAUUUUCCUGUAUUUAACCACCUGUCUCUGACCUGUAUACUGUGUGUGCACUAAUGCUCACUGCAAGAAAAAAAAAACCCAGACAAACAGACAUCAACUUCCACUUACUGUGUUGGUAGUAAGGUCCAAAUGCAAAGUUACAUGAAAUUAGCAUCCCUUCAACAAAAUCUCUAUUCAUAGUGGAUAUUCAUAUUAGUGAAACUGAUUUUUACAAUCAAACUUUGUGUGUUUUCUUUCUGUUGUUUGUUCUGUCUGAAGAUCACACACGACCACCCCCUGUAAAAUAAAGUUCCAAUAAGUUGUUCAAUUCUUGCUAUACUGCAUCAUAAUCUUACAUUUGUAAUGAUUCACUACAACAUAAGACAGACAAUAUACUGUGCAACCUACAACACCUCAGGAACAGCCGCAACAAACUACUGUCAGAGACAGUGUUAGUAAGCUCAAAGUUUUGUCUUAACCUCAAGAUCUCGUUUUUUUAAGCAUAUUGCCUUUAAGGAAGCAAACUCGUACAGCAUAUCAUAACGACAAUUACCACAUACCUUACAUACAUACAUUAUAGCGUUAUGAUUUCAACACAACUCUGUCCUUUAUAUAAAUACUGCUUUCUAUGGAGCCCUGGGUACAUAUAUUAGUAACAAACAAUGAAAACAUAAUCAUCAGCAGUAACAGCCUGGUACAUUUGAAAGCCUGUGUAGACACAAUUCUGCUCAUGAACAAGCCUUUUCAGAAGAUGUAUACCCCAAGCCUGCUGACCGUGUGUGAUUAUUAGGAACUUUCUGUCAAGACUCCAUAAAUGAUUAAUCAACUGGUCUAUUAACUAUUUAGAUAAUUCAUUCUUUGUUUAAGUUGUUUCUUAAAUUAAAAAUAAAUAAAUAAAUAAAAAUCUCUGGUUAGAGCUUUUCAUAUAUGAAUAUCUGCUGUUUGUCUUGUAGUUGCCUGUGAUAGUAAACUGAAGAUCUCAGGGUUUUGGACUGUUUGGACUACACAAGACAUUUUGGGAAACUGUAAUAGGUAUUUUUUAUUUAUUUAUUUUUCAAACUUUUGUCUGUCAGCAGUGUUACAAAUAAACUAACUAUCUUUGGGUAUAAGACUGUUGGCUAGACAAACCAAUUUUGCAGACAUGUCUCAAGCUAUGGGAAACUAACAGGAGUUUUUCACAUUUUCCAGACUUCUGUCUCUAACAGAGUCCCUAUUAGUUGUCAAUACCAGUGUGUUUAACCUUUACAUACUGUUUAAGUCAAAACUGACUCGUUUUGACAUUUGACAGCAGUAAAUAUACCCUACAUGUAAUUUUUAUGACUUUUUCUAAAGUGAACCAAAAUACUCAAACAUUAAAAUGUUUCAGAUUUUAUACUACAGUUGCUACAGGCUGUUCUAGGUCAUAUUUGACCAGGAAAACAGGGAAAAUGGUUGUUCUAGGGAACCUUGAAACUGUCAAACUGCAUAUCCUAUGUCUGUGUGUAUUUUGUAUGGCACAGUAGUGACAGAGUUGGGGGGUCCUUGACACUGUCACAAGAACUGUCUGUGUCCCCACCACAGGUGGCCAGGGGUCAUGUGGGAACCUCGAAACAGUAGAAGCAGAAAUAGUUCAAUAGCAUAGGAGUGGUUAUAUAGAUGGUGAACAAAGGUCAUACAGAGGUCACAGAGACACCGACACCUGCAAUGUAACAACAUAAUCUGAAAACAGACAAAUUAAAAUCACUUUGUAUAUGGUUGCAAUGGUUAUACGUGGUUAUAUUAUAACAGUUCCAGAAUGUUCUUGCCAUUUUCAGUAUCAAUAAAAUAUAUUUAAAUCAUUAUGACAUUAAACAGGACAUAAUAUAAUACAUUAUGGUUCAAUAACACAAGUGUUGUAGAAGCUAGAAGAUACACUCACAUGCUAUCUAAAUCAUAAAUCAUAAAUUAAGGAUUAAUAAUUAAUUUAUUAAUGUCAGAUAGGCUAUUUAUGUAUUAUAAAUAGAUCUACUAUUAGGGCUACUAAUAGAGCUACUUGAGUUUAUUUCAGUCCAAUUUGAGCAACCUGACUUUUAGACCUGACUUGAUUUUUUCGAUCAGUAUUGAAUUUGGGCAGUUUGAACAUUGGACACAUGUUUUUCAUCUGAUUCAGUGAUGACAAUAUCACAAUGAGGUAUUCUGUGGUUACAUUUCACAAUGAGGUAUUCAGUUGCCUAUAAGAUUCAAAUUCUUACUGCUAUUAUUUGCCUUUAUACAGAAAAUGUGAUGCUCUAAAGUUGCACAAAUAAAAUUAUUUCCCAAC